UUGUAUGUUUAACAUACACUAAGCAUUUACAUGUCCUGUUUCUUAGCUGCCAUCUUUCAGACAGAGGGGUUACUGAUGUCGGCCUGAAGCUGCCCGCUCUCCGUGAGGCAUUCGCUGUGAGUAAAUCCUUUUUUCGGCUGCUGUUAUUGUGCAGGUAAAGUCCACUCGGCUUUAAUUUAUAUUGUGUGCUGUCUCAUGUUCAGACUCUGCUUACCAGCAUCCACAACCAGAACUUCUUUUUCCUGGUUGGAAAGAAGAUCGUCAUGCGUCUGGCAGCGGCUAACAUCCAGGAUGUAGUUGGGGUGAAGUUGGCCUCCGAGGCCUUGAUUCAAUUCCUGAGGACGCCUCCUUAUCAGGAUUCGAUUGAAGCAGAGAGCUCCUCCUGUGUAAGCUAAUAAUUGCCUGUGUGAAGUGACAUGUUUAAAUACAGUAGAUUUGUAUAAUAUAGUAAACAGGACUCUAAUAUGUAAUGCUAAUUUCUUUUUGUAACUUUUUGUAUUGUAGCUUAAACUCAGUGACACUGUGUUGGAUGUGUGUGUGUAUAAUUUGUCAACAGGAUCACCUAACAAUUUCCCGGAUAUCGCCGAUAUUAAAUGGCAGUAUGGUAGGUGCGAGAGCUCUACAACGCAUCUUGUCAAAUGCGGGGUAGGAGAGGUGGAUUACACGAUCGAGCAAGGCGGCCUCUGUCGCGUGUUCCUCUGCCCUCUAUCAUUCUUGCUAACAUGCGGUCCCUUCGAAACAAAUCUGAUGAAGUGCAAGCCCAUGUCCGAUAUUAUCAUGAAUUUAAAGAAGCAUAUAUCCUGGCCCUGACAGAAACAUGGCUGAGAAAAGCGGACUCAGACGCUGGCAUUACAUUGGAUGCUUUUGGUGCUCCUUUUCGUAUGGAUCUGGUGUCAGUGAACACUGGCAAGUCGCGAGGGGGCGGGGUGUGUGCUUGCAUAUAAAAGAGCGCUGGUGCAAAACAACGUUAGUGAGAGAAAAGUUGUGUACAAAAGAUAUCAAACUAUUCUCAGUCUUACUGCGCCCCUUCUAUCUACCCAGGGAAUUCUCGCAGAUCUUCGUAACUGUUGUUUAUAUCCACCCGAUAAUCUAUAAUACCUAAUCUAUAAUACUGUCCAGAAACUACAGGCAGUGCCCCCCGAUGCCCCAAAUCUCAUUUUAGGCGAUUUUAAUCAUUGUUCAUUGGACAAAAUCUUAAAAUGUUUUAAUAAAUAUGUGUCUUGCCCAACCAGAAACGGGAAGAUACUUGUUCAGUGUUAUGGUUCCAUUAAAUGUGCCUACAGUAUAUAAGGUGGCCCAGAUAAUAUUGGCAGCCAUGUUCUUUCUUGUUGUGUGGAACAGCUAGGCCCUAUUUUCUCUUACAUUUUUAAUCAAUCUAUGUGUCAACAGAAUGUCCCUGACGUAUGGAAACAGUCAAUCAUAGUUCCUGUUGCAAAGAGUAGCUACCCUAAGACUUUAAAUGACUACAUACCCAUAGCCCUUACGUCAGUUGUGAUGAAGUGUUUUGAAAAGCUGAACAAAAGAAAACUAUCAUCUAUGACAAAUUGCCUCCUUGACCCACUACAGUUUGCAUAUAGAGUAAAUAGAGGGGUCCAGGAUGCAACUGUAACAGUACUUAACCUCAUUCUUAACCACCUGGAGGGCAAUAGAAAUCAUGCCAGACUACUGUUUGUGGAUUUCUCGUCAGCUUUUAACACCAUUCAGCCCCACUUGCUGGUUGAGAAGCUCUUACAUCAGUUUAAACUGGAGGCCAAGCUUGUGGGUUGGAUAUUAGAUUUCCUCACAAAUAGAUCACAGCGAGUGAGGGUAAAUGGCCAUCUCUCUGACUAGGCCCUUACAUCAACUGGCUGAACGCAGGAAUGUGUUCUUUCCCCCUUCUCUAUAUUCUGUACACUAACGACUGUCGCUCUGUGAUUGAUAACCAAUACUUUGUGAAGUUUGCUGAUGAUAAGGUUAUUGUCAGCCUAUUGAACAAUGAGGAAACUUCACACGGUCUGGUCAUCAAUCACUUUGUUACAUGGUGUAAGUAUGAUUUUCUUGAACUGAAUGCCUCUAAGACCAAGGACAUGUGUAUUGAUUUUAGGCGUAAUGUCACUAACACCGAGAAAACUAGUAUAAAUGGUCAGGAUAUAGAGGUUGUUACAGAGUAUAAGUACUUAGGAUCCAUUAUUGAUGAUAAGCUGUGUUUUGAUUCAAAUACCAGUUUGCUUUGCAUUGCUUGAGGAAGCUGUCAAAGUUUAAUGUGGAUAAGACCCUGUUGACUCUUUUCUACAGGUCUUUUGUUGAGUCAGUUGUUACCUUCUCCUUAAUCUGCUGGUAUGGGUCCAUCACUGUAAAACAAAAAAAACUCCCUUUCGAGGUUAAUUAAGGUGAGCAGCAGCAUCACAGGUUCUAGGAAGAAAGGUCUGGAGUAACUUUGUCAGAAGCAGAUGUUAAGGAGGGUUGAGUCUAUGUUGUCAGAUAAUUCUCAUCCCUUACGGGCUGAAUUUCAGAUGUUGCCAUCGGGAUUACGCUUUAAACUCCCAAAAAUCCAGAACCAACAGAUAUAAACACUCUUUUGUCCCUGCAGCCAUUCUGCUUCUCAAUUCUGCAAAGAACUAUAGAUAACUUUAUUAUUUACUGUU